rnacentral:rRNA from 1 species
CCUACGGGGCGCAGCAGUGGGGAAUAUUGCACAAUGGGGGGAACCCUGAUGCAGCAAUGCCGCGUGAAGGAUGAAGGUUUUCGGAUUGUAAACUUCUUUUGUACGGGACGAAGAAAGUGACGGUACCGUAAGAAUAAGCCACGGCUAACUACGUGCCAGCAGCCGCGGUAAUACGUAGGUGGCAAGCGUUAUCCGGAUUUACUGGGUGUAAAGGGCGAGUAGGCGGGAUUGCAAGUCAGAUGUGAAAACUAUGGGCUCAACCUGUGGCCUGCAUUUGAAACUGUUUUUCUUGAGUACUGGAGAGG